CAGCAGGAGGGGAGGAUCCACCAACUUUCCGAGAGACAUUCUUGAAGUAUGCCAGAUAAAACAGCAUGACAGUGUAUAUAUACACAGGCAGCCUCACACAUGUCAAGGUGCAAUCCCCCUGAGAUUUACAAUGCCCUCCCCUUUUAUAAUCAGGAAAGCGUGGUAAACCUGUUUUACUUCUGCAACUUGUAUAUUCUACAAACGAAGAUGUCUGCAUCACAAAUGACAUUUGAAUUCUUAGGAAAAGAGAGAAGAAGGAACAGGGAAGAGGAGAGGGGCUGACAGGAGGAGAAGAGACACACUUGUGACCGGGAGUGGGAGAUUUUAUGAAGGUUGAACUUUAAUUCUUAAUUACAGAUAUAAUUUCCUGCACAAAGUGUGUUAAUUUGUCCCUAGCCAAAGACUGUGACAUAGAUGCUUCAGAGGAACUGAUAAAACCCGACAGCCUAACAAAUGUAGGAAGCUGAAGAAAGGAGCCAAAUACCAGAAUGAAUUAAUGGUGGAGUGAUAGGUGAAGCACAUUUGUGAAGGGAAACUCAUCAACCAAAUAUUUCCUAAACAAUUUUUAUAGAGUAGGUAUAAUACCAGGACUAUGGGCUCAGAGAUAAGGCAUGGCCAGUGCAUAGAAGAAAUUCGUAUUUUAGGUAAUGGGAACUUCAGAACUGUACAUCAUUACAUUAAAAUGUUAGAGGAUAAUAAAAAAUGUAUAGAAAUGUUGCCAAUACCUCUACUUCCACACCUAUUUGUAGUUUCUUUGCGUCAUUGCAUCACAAAAAGCCUCUUGUUUGAUAAAUGGACCAUUUCCUCCAUCUUGGAACAUUCUCUUCUGUCUUUUGUGUACUACAUUCUCCAGUUUCCACUUACAGUCACAACUUACAGUCUACUUCUCUAAUUGUAUCUUUUCAAUCUCUAUUAAAUUUAAACUCAUCUUCUGUUGUCAACUACUAAAUGUGAUUUCACUAAGGUUCCGUCCUGGGUUCAAUUCUCCAUUCUCUGAGGCAAUACCAUUCAACAUUUAGCUUUUUACAUACCACGGACACUCAGAUCUCUCUAGGCAGACUUCUCCCUCUACAACCCAUG